rnacentral:rRNA from 1 species
UACGUAGGGUGCAAGCGUUGUCCGGAAUCAUUGGGCGUAAAGGGCGUGUAGGUGGUCUGCUAAGUCAUGUGUGAAAGCCCCAGCUCAACUGGGGAAGUGCGCAUGAAACUGACAGGCUAGAGUACCGAAGAGGAAGGUGGAAUUCCCGGUGUAGCGGUGAAAUGACGUAGAUAUCGGGAGGAACACCUGUGGCGAAGGCGGCCACCUGGUUGGAUACUGACGCUGAG